AACGAACGCUGGCGGCAGGCUUAACACAUGCAAGUCGAACGCAUCCUUCGGGGUGAGUGGCAGACGGGUGAGUAACGCGUGGGAACGUGCCCUUCAGUUCGGGAUAACCCAGGGAAACUUGGACUAAUACCGGAUACGUGCGAGAGCAGAAAGAUUUAUCGCUGAGGGAUCGGCCCGCGUCUGAUUAGCUAGUUGGUGGGGUAAUGGCCCACCAAGGCGACGAUCAGUAGCUGGUCUGAGAGGAUGAUCAGCCACAUUGGGACUGAGACACGGCCCAAACUCCUACGGGAGGCAGCAGUGGGGAAUAUUGGACAAUGGGCGCAAGCCUGAUCCAGCCAUGCCGCGUGAGUGAUGAAGGCCUUAGGGUUGUAAAGCUCUUUCGUCCGGGACGAUAAUGACGGUACCGGAAGAAGAAGCCCCGGCUAACUUCGUGCCAGCCGCCGCGGUAA
rnacentral:rRNA from 1 species